rnacentral:rRNA from 1 species
AACGAACGCUGGCGGCAGGCCUAACACAUGCAAGUCGAGCGCUCACUUCGGUGGGAGCGGCGGACGGGUUAGUAACGCGUGGGAACGUGCCCUUCUCUACGGAAUAGCCAUUGGAAACGAUGAGUAAUACCGUAUACGCCCUUCGGGGGAAAGAUUUAUCGGAGAAGGAUCGGCCCGCGUUAGAUUAGAUAGUUGGUGGGGUAACGGCCUACCAAGUCUACGACUCUAUAGCGUUGGUUUUAGGAGGAUGAUCAGACAACACGUGGGACUGAGACACCGGCCAGACUCCGUACGGGAGGCAGCAGGU